UGCGACAGGCUUAACACAUGCAAGUCGAGGGGCAGCACAGGUAGCAAUACCGGGUGGCGACCGGCGCACGGGUGAGUAACGCGUAUGCAACUUACCUAUCAGAGGGGGAUAACCCGGCGAAAGUCGGACUAAUACCGCAUGAAGCAGGGGCCCCGCAUGGGGAUAUUUGCUAAAGAUUCAUCGCUGAUAGAUAGGCAUGCGUUCCAUUAGGCAGUUGGCGGGGUAACGGCCCACCAAACCGACGAUGGAUAGGGGUUCUGAGAGGAAGGUCCCCCACAUUGGUACUGAGACACGGACCAAACUCCUACGGGAGGCAGCAGUGAGGAAUAUUGGUCAAUGGCCGAGAGGCUGAACCAGCCAAGUCGCGUGAGGGAUGAAGGUUCUAUGGAUCGUAAACCUCUUUUAUAAGGGAAUAAAGUGCGGGACGUGUCCCGUUUUGUAUGUACCUUAUGAAUAAGGAUCGGCUAACUCCGUGCCAGCAGCCGCGGUAAUACGGAGGAUCCGAGCGUUAUCCGGAUUUAUUGGGUUUAAAGGGUGCGUAGGCGGCCUUUUAAGUCAGCGGUGAAAGUCUGUGGCUCAACCAUAGAAUUGCCGUUGAAACUGGGGGGCUUGAGUAUGUUUGAGGCAGGCGGAAUGCGUGGUGUAGCGGUGAAAUGCAUAGAUAUCACGCAGAACCCCGAUUGCGAAGGCAGCCUGCCAAGCCAUGACUGACGCUGAUGCACGAAAGCGUGGGGAUCAAACAGGAUUAGAUACCCUGGUAGUCCACGCAGUAAACGAUGAUCACUAGCUGUUUGCGAUACACAGUAAGCGGCACAGCGAAAGCGUUAAGUGAUCCACCUGGGGAGUACGCCGGCAACGGUGAAACUCAAAGGAAUUGACGGGGGCCCGCACAAGCGGAGGAACAUGUGGUUUAAUUCGAUGAUACGCGAGGAACCUUACCCGGGUUUGAACGCAUUCGGACCGAGGUGGAAACACCUUUUCUAGCAAUAGCCGUUUGCGAGGUGCUGCAUGGUUGUCGUCAGCUCGUGCCGUGAGGUGUCGGCUUAAGUGCCAUAACGAGCGCAACCCUUGCCACUAGUUACUAACAGGUGAUGCUGAGGACUCUGGUGGGACUGCCAGCGUAAGCUGCGAGGAAGGCGGGGAUGGCGUCAAAUCAGCGCGGCCCUUACAUCCGGGGCGACACACGUGUUACAAUGGCGUGGACAAAGGGAGGCCACCUGGCGACAGGGAGCGAAUCCCCAAACCACGUCUCAGUUCGGAUCGGAGUCUGCAACCCGACUCCGUGAAGCUGGAUUCGCUAGUAAUCGCGCAUCAGCCAUGGCGCGGUGAAUACGUUCCCGGGCCUUGUACACACCGCCCGUCAAGCCAUGGGAGCCGGGGGUACCUGAAGUCCGUAACCGCGAGGAUCGGCCUAGGGUAAAACUGGUGACUG
rnacentral:rRNA from 1 species